rnacentral:rRNA from 1 species
CAGCCGCCACGGUAAAACGUAGGGUGCAAGCGUUAAUCGGAAUUACUGGGCGUAAAGCGUGCGCAGGCGGUGUUGUAAGACUGAUGUGAAAUCCCCGGGCUCAACCUGGGAACUGCAUUUGUGACUGUAUAGCUAGAGUACGGCAGAGGGGGAUGGAAUUCCGCGUGUAGCAGUGAAAUGCGUAGAUAUGCGGAGGAACACCGAUGGCGAAGGCAAUCCCCUGGGCCUGUACUGACGCUCAUGCACGAAAGCGUGGGGAGCAAACAGGAUUAGAUACCCCGGUAGUCCCUGUCUCUUAUAC